AGUUUUAAUGGCGCUUGCUGGAAGGAAGUCGCUGUGUUGUUAAGCGGUGUCCCUCCCGCCACUUUCUGCCCUCCGAUGUCCCUGUAGCCGAGAUGGCUGGCGUAGCGUGGAGUGUAUCGAUGAUGAGAUCCCAAUCAAUACUCGGCCGCACCGCUACAUCACGGUAUUGAACGGCGCCGCGGAGGGCAACAGCCAAUCGGCAGCGUCGUAAGGUUCGGCCGCAGCCAAUGAGGUGCUCCGUCUGUGCGGGGAAAUGCUCACGUUGUGGUAGUGAGGCAGAAGGCAGAAGGAAGUGUAUUGUUGUCGGCUCUGCUUUGCCGGCGACGGACCACAGAAGGAAUCUGGAGUGACGUCAAAGGAUGGGGGUGCUCGACGUGUGCUCAGACUUCGCACGCCACUGAGUGUUCUACGCCACGGACGAAUCCGUCCAAUCUACGUGCACGACAGCCUGUGUUCACUUCUGCGCUGAUUGCGAAACAGGCAGACACAGGGAACUGUUGAGGGUUUUUUUUUUUAACACAAAACAAAACUGGAUUACGCUGGAGUCUUGGAGAUGCCUCAUUUGACAGACAUGACGUGCUACACUAAAGACUGCUCGAGAGAAACGUUUUAAAGAUCAAAUUGUGUAGUCUUGUGUGAAUUCCUUAAGGACAUGUUUCUGCUGACAAAACAAAAGCGUUUGGAUUUGGAGUGUAGAACCGUUGUGUGAGUUGUUUCUCUGUUGGGAUGAAAUGAAAUUGUGUUAAUGAGUUGGGGGGUUUUUCCUGUCCAGAAAAGACUCGAACUGUAAAGGAAAAAAAAAAGAUAGUGUAGCCUAUUUUUAGACAGGAGCUGUGGUGUGGCGUGUGUUUCGUGUUUUUAAUCUUUGGACACCACGUUACCACUCUGAACAAAACUUGGAGCUGGAAACUGUGUUGGGAGCGUUUGGAUAUCGCCGAUACGCUUUGUGCGUCACCGAUACGUUAGAGCAAGUGCCGGUACCCUACAACAGGGACCGAAACACGGCUGAACGUCACUGAUAUACGCACAGAACGUCACAGCGUAUCCAGAUAAUGUGAAAGGUUGCCCGGGUGGAUGUUUUAGUCCUCAACCUACCAGGAGCCUGCAUACCAGAGUAGGCCAAGAAAACAGUAUCAACAAGAUGGCGGACGAGGACAGGGGCGAGAACUCUGAUCUCAUCGGCCAGGGAGGGCGAAAGGACAAGGGGAAGACUCCAGAUUGGAGCA